GGGCCAUCGCUCAACGGAUAAAAGGUACUCCGGGGAUAACAGGCUGAUACCGCCCAAGAGUUCAUAUCGACGGCGGUGUUUGGCACCUCGAUGUCGGCUCAUCACAUCCUGGGGCUGAAGUAGGUCCCAAGGGUAUGGCUGUUCGCCAUUUAAAGUGGUACGCGAGCUGGGUUUAGAACGUCGUGAGACAGUUCGGUCCCUAUCUGCCGUGGGCGCUGGAGAAUUGAGGGGGGCUGCUCCUAGUACGAGAGGACCGGAGUGGACGCAUCACUGGUGUUCGGGUUGUCAUGCCAAUGGCAYUGCCCGGUAGCUAAAUGCGGAAGAGAUAAGUGCUGAAAGCAUCUAAGCACGAAACUUGCCCCGAGAUGAGUUCUCCCUGASMCUUUAAGKSUCCUGAAGGAACGUUGAAGACGACGACGUUGAUAGGUCGGGUGUGUAAGCGCAGCGAUGCGUUGAGCUAACCGAUACUAAUGAACCGUGAGGCUUAACCUU
rnacentral:rRNA from 1 species